AGGCAUGGAUGUGUGUGAUGUCUUUCGGUUAGUUAGGUUUAAGCAGUUCUAAGUUCUAGGGGACUGAUGACCUCAGCUGUUAAGUCCCUUAGUUCUCAGAGCCAUUUGAACAAUUUUUUUGAGAAUGUGCUGUCAUUUCUGUCCUGAUAUGCAGGCACCUCAAAGAAAGUGUUGCAGGUUCAAGCUGCCAUAAAGGCGAAGGGUGGACACACCCCAUACUAGUGUCCACUAAUACGUUCCAGAUGCUUUUAAUCAGUUAGUGCAGUCACUUUCCACUGGAGCACAAACAUGGACUGCGGAUCGAAAUUCCAUAACACUUAUCUUCUGAUCAGUAGUGACUAAAAACAAAAAUUUAGUUGUUAAUGAGGUGUAUGUGUUACUACCCAUAUAUAUGUGUAAUUAAUCAAAAAUGUUGUGGGAUCUGUAUUGGUGAUUAGGCAUGGGAGCGCAUGGGAGUAUGGAUGCCACUAGUUUGGCGCUGCAGGGGUUGCUCGUCCUUGACCUUGACGGUUUCCGGUUUGGCGGGAGCUGGUCGCGCAUGCGCAGUGCUGGGCAGGACCUACCGCACGCGCCGGCGUUGCGACGCUCCCGCUGCACCAGUGGCCGCCUGCCGGGGGGAGGAGCGGCGCAGCGACCCCACCACCACAGAGCGGCCUAUCGAUUCUGCACGUGCCUGCUGCCGCUGACGUCUGAUGUCUGACGGAGAAGACAUGCCACGCCACGUAGCGGCAGCAGGGUGAAGCUUCUGCACAUGCAUAGUUCCUUCCGACGCCAUUGCUUAGAAACGCUGUUAUUUACGUUUUCGUAAAACGAGGGAAACUUUAUAUUGUGAAAACGUUUAUGUUAAGGACGCAACUAAAACAGCACUGAAAAGAAGAUGAGGUCUUAUAAAAGGAAGUUGGGUGCAAGAGCCUAUAGAAAUUACUCUCCAGAGACGUUAGAUAAAGCCGUUAAAUUGGUUUUAACAAAGAAAAUGACCCUGCGAGCAGCAUCUGAAAGGUUCAAUAUUCAUCGAAACACAUUGUGGAACAAAACCAAAGAGAUAAAACGUUCGACCACCUCAAACUCAGAGACAGUCAAACCUAAAAGACAGCAUGGGGGUCAACCUAUUUUUACAAAAGAAGAAGAGGAUACAUUCGUUGCUCAUUCCAUUGCAAUGGCAUCUUAUGGUUUCCCAAUGACAUUACUUGAUUUGCGCUGUGUCGUCAAAUCAUAUCUAGAUCGAACCGGAAGAAAAGUUCCCGUGUUUGGAAAUGGAAACUUUCCUGGGAGAGAGUGGGCCAUGUCAUUUAUGAAGCGGCAUAAGUAUGUUCUCUCCGAACGUGUCGCCAAAAAUAUCACAUAUGCAAGAGCUGCGACUGAUACUGAAGUGAUUGACUCAUAUUUUGAGCAUUUAGAGAACGAGUUAGAGGGUAUUCCGCCAGAAAAAAUUUGGAAUUACGACGAAACGAACGUCCAGGACGAUCCGGGAAGCAAAAAAGUGUUGGUCAGAAGAGGAGCAAAAUAUCCAGAGCGGAUACAAAAUUGUUCCAAAGCGUGUACUUCGAUUAUGGUCUGUGGGAACGCCGCAGGACAGUUGGCUCCACUAUACGUAAAUUACAAGGCCGAGAACAUGUGGUCGACCUGGACCGAAAAUGGACCUGAAGGAGCCCGCUACAAUCGUACUAAAUCUGGAUGUUUGAUCACCAAGUGUUUGAGGACUGGUUCAUCAAUCUUAUGCUCCCCAUACUGAAACAACAAGAUGGCCAAAAAGUUCUUAUUGGCGAUAAUUUGAGUUCGCAUAUUAACCUAGAGGUUAUUCGACUCUGCGAAAAGUAUGAGAUAAAAUUUAUCGCACUCCCACCAAAUGCGACACAUCUACUGCAACCGCUAGAUGUUGCCAUAUUCAGAGUUCUAAAACUGAUUUGGCGUGAAAUUUUGUCAGAUUGGAAGCAAUCAACAUCUGGUAGCCGGUGCACAUCAGUUCCAAAAGAUGAACUGCCUGGUCUGUUAAAGAAAAUGAUGGACAAGCUGCAGGAGAACAUCAUAAAAAAUCUCCAGUCAGGAUUUAGGAAGACUGGGAUUUUUCCGCUUAACAAAAUGGAAGUCCUCCAAAGACUCCCGAAGGCCGUCUUGGAAGAGAGCCUACAGUCCUUAUCAGGAGUGGUUGGUGAGAUCUUCAUAGAAGAACUGCAGAAGAAGGGAGAAGAGGUUACAGGAUGCUGGGCCCCCAAGAGAAGGAGAAGGCUCACUGUUCCAGCAGGCAGAAGUAUCUCCAGUGCCGAAAUCGAAGCCAGUAGGGCGGAACAGCCGAAAGGGAAGAGCACAAAAGCCAGCACUUCCUCCAGACCCAGCGGAUCCAAGGAAAAGGCUGUACUGGCAGGUGAGAUGUCUGAAAAAGCUCUUCAGAUGAAGACAACAGCAGAGAGAGGAACUGGAUGGAUGAAGAUCCCAGUGACCCCGACGUGCUGGAUGAAUCUUUCAGCUGUUUGGAGGAUUCAGAACCUGAAAUGUCUCCCACAAAAGUGAUUCCAAAUGAUAAAGACGUCUUGGGAAUCGACAGCAUGGCUCCUGGAAAAAACGUUUUCAAAGUGGAUGAUUCUGUAGUGGUGAACUUUGAAGGGAAACUUUUUCCAGGAAGGGUGACUGAAGAAAAACAAGAGGGCUACAUUGUCAGCGUUAUGGAGAGGACCAAGAUGUUCUGGAAGUGGCCUACUAAAGAAGAUGCUAUUCUGUACUCCAAAGAAGAAGUUUUGUACACUAUCGAUCCCCCAAGACCGGUAGGAAAGCGAGGGUUCUUUGAGGUGAAAAAUCUAGAUUAGGGACCUCCUUUUUCAUCACUUGUAAAAAUGAUGUAGCUCUACCAAUGCA